CCUACGAAGGUUAACUAGAGCUACGAGUACGAGAACCACGCCCAGCCGCCAUAGUGGAGUCCUACGCCGCCACCGAGAUCCGAGAGGAGCCGCCGCCGCCGAGAUCCGAGAUGAGCUGGCCACCGGACACCAUGACCUCCCUCCCCAGCCGGCCGCCACCACCCCCUCCCCCAGCAGCCAUGUACAGCGGGGCAGCGAUGGGUAUCGGCCUCCCUCCUCCCUUCGCCCAAGGCUAGGAACUCCCCUCCCCUACCCGAUCUCCUCCCUUCGUGCAAGGCCACGAGCUCCCCUCCCCUACCCGAUCUGACGGAGAGAGGGCCAGGUCUUGCCACUCCGGUGUUUGAUGUGGCCAGAUCCGGACGGGGGAUUCGCCGUAGAGCCUCCAUGUCGGUGGAGCAGCAGCAGCCCGACAGAAGAUCCAGCGCUCAAAUAAGAUUAUGAGGAAGGGCAUCACACUCUCCGGGAGCAAACAAGAUACCACAUACCGAUCCUGAUUCAGAAUUAUGACAGGGAGUCAGGGACACAAUCAAAUUUAUACCAUCCGUUGUGAUUCAAUUUGACCAUUUCAUUAAAAUUUCCGGAUGGAUCUUAAUUCCUCGGGAAUGAUGUGGUUCUGGAGUCUAUUGUUAAUCUCUUCUGUCGCAGAUGUUUCACAAAUCCAACUACCAUGUUGAUUUUUUGAUCAUUCUUUGGUCUGGAGUCUGGACUAUACAUGAUAUAUGUAUUAUAUCAUCAUCACAAUAUGAUUAUUUUUCUUCUUCUCACAAGGCGCUUCCAAUGCACAGAUGGCGGCAAUGAAGCAGCAGGCUCCGGAGAGCGUGCAGUGGAGGAAGGAGUUCCUGGUGGAGGUGUUGAUGCUGACGGUGCUCAGCCAGCCUAACUUCGUCAGCCUGGUCGGCUUCUGCGCGCAGGGGGACAAGCGCCUGCUAUUGAUACAGGCUUUCAAAGGUGGGGCAUGGGCUCAGAGGUGAGGCCACUAGCGGUUCAACUUUGCACAUACAAGAAAAUAAAAUCAAGGCACAAAUUGGACGGACAAAUGUUGAUAGAGGAGGAGAACACCAUGCAACAGCGAUCCAUCCAACACGGCAAGAGAUACCUAGGCACUCGGUGCUAUUUCUCACGUCAAUGCACCCCCUAUGCCGGGAAUCGAUGGCUCAACCGGCAAUCGAGCAGGAUGGAUAUCCUAGCGCCUCUAUAUUAGCACCCACAAGGAAAGUAAACAUAGGCCCAUAUUGUGUUCAACGUGAUGAUACAAGCGAGAGUUGGCCUACGCCGCCAACUGAUCUGCGGCAGCGUGGAAGGAGUGUUCAAAAGCAGCAUGAGCAGUUGUUCUACUGCUGGUCGGAGGGAGAGCUUGUCAAGGGAGAUAGAGGGAGCUCUACAACCACGAUCUUGGCAUACAACCCGAUGGCAUCGUGCCCACAGCAACCUCCUUCUGGAUGACAAAAGAAUUAGGUCCAGAUAAUUUGUUCUUUGAGCAAAGCAACUUUGUUGGGGAUGCCAAAAGAAGUUUCAGUUUUCUUACUAAUUAAUGCGGCAAUUGGCUGCCGCGACAGAAAACUGGGAGCCCCCUAGGAACAAAAUAAAAAAAGAAAGAUCCUGCCUUUGCCCUUAAUACACCUGAUGGGCAAUGUCAUCACCAGCAUGAGUUUGGUCUCCUUAACGCACCCGAUCGAGGCCAUGGAGUCCAUCUUCCCUAUUCUACUAUUUGUCUUGUUCCUCGGGCAGGUAUUUGGUUUCAGACUUUAUCAAGUGGUAUGUCCUGACAAAUGAAAUGUGAUGAACACCCAGGGAAUAAUGUACCUAUAUAGGAUUAGGAAUCUUUUUGUAUCAAUGAAAUUGUUGUGCAUGCUCGUAGGUAUAUGUUCUCCUAUCUUGACAAAUGAAAUGAGUGAUUACAAAACUAUUUUUGAUCGAUGAAAUGGAUGGAUGUAUGGACAUCUUGUUAUGCAGA